AUCCAGCUGACGAGUCUUAAAUAGGACGAAAUGCGUGUCCUAGAU
rnacentral:hammerhead_ribozyme from 1 species